rnacentral:rRNA from 1 species
GCAUACAAACAGUAGGAGCCCGCAAGGGUGACUGCGUACCUCUUGUAUAAUGGGUCAUCGACUUAGUCUAACUAGCAAGCUUAAGCCGUUAGGUGUAGGCGCAGCGAAAGCGAGUCUGAAUAGGGCGUUAAGUUAGUUGGAUUAGACCCGAAACCAAGUGAUCUAGGUAUGAGCAGGUUGAAGGCAAGGUAACACUUGCUGGAGGACCGAACCCACGUAAGUUGAAAAUUGCGGGGAUGACUUGUUCCUAGGGGUGAAAGGCCAAUCAAACUUGGAAAUAGCUGGUUCUCCGCGAAAGAUAUUUAGGUAUCGCCUCGGACGAAUACUGUGGGGGGUAGAGCACUGGAUGGGCUAGGGGAUCUCACCGAUUUACCAAACCUAACCAAACUCCGAAUACCCACAAGUAAUAUCCGGGAGACAGACGGCGGGUGCUAAGGUCCGUCGUCAAAAGGGAAACAGCCCUAACCUACAGCUAAGGUCCCCAAGUGAUAGUUAAGUGGGAAAGCAUGUGGGAAUGCUUAGACAACCAGGAGGUUGGCUUAGAAGCAGCCAUCCUUUAAAGAUAGCGUAACAGCUCACUGGUCAAGCGUUCCUGCGGCGAAGAUGUAACGGGUCUAAAACUAUCCACCGAAGCUUAGGGUUUACUCGUUUACGAGUAAGCGGUAGCGGAGCGUUCCGUAAGCCUGCGAAGCGGUACCUGUGAGGGGCCGUGGAGGUAUCGGAAGUGCGAAUGAUGACAUGAGUAGCGACAAAAAGUGUGAGAGACACUUUCGCCGAAAGUCCAAGGGUUCCUGCGCAAUGCUAAUCAGCGCAGGGUUAGUCGGCCCCUAAGGUGAGGCAGAAAUGCGUAGCCGAUGGGAACCACGUUAAUAUUCGUGAACCAGAUGGUAGUGACGGAUCGCGCAGGUUCGUAUCCCCUUAUUGGAUUGGGGGUGCGAUGAGCCGGUUCCAGGAAAUAGCUCCAUCGACAUUGACCGUACCCUAAACCGACACAGGUGGACUGGUAGAGUAUACCAAGGCGCUUGAGAGAACUAUACUGAAGGAACUCGGCAAAUUGCAUGCGUAACUUCGGGAUAAGCAUGACUUCUAUCGGGGCAACCCUUUAGGAGUGGCACAAAAGAGGGGGUGGCGACUGUUUACUAAAAACACAGGGCUCUGCGAAGUUGCAAAACGACGUAUAGGGUCUGACGCCUGCCCGGUGCCGGAAGGUUAAAAGGAGAGGUGAAAGCUUUGAAUUGAAGCCCCGGUAAACGGCGGCCGUAACUAUAACGGUCCUAAGGUAGCGAAAUUCCUUGUCGGGUAAGUUCCGACCUGCACGAAUGGCGUAACGACUUCCCCACC